ACGGAAGGCAGCAGUGGGGAAUAUUGGGUAAUGGGCGAAAGCCUGACCCAGCAACGCCGCGUGAAGGAAGAAGGUCUUCGGAUCGUAAACUUCUUUUAUGAGGGACGAAGGACGUGACGGUACCUCAUGAAUAAGCCACGGCUAACUACGUGCCAGCAGCCGCGGUAAUACGUAGGUGGCAAGCGUUAUCCGGAUUUACUGGGUGUAAAGGGCGCGUAGGCGGGGAUGCAAGUCAGGUGUGAAAUCUAUGGGCUUAACUCAUAAACUGCACUUGAAACUGUGUCUCUUGAGUGCUGGAGAGGUAGAUGGAAUUCCUUGUGUAGCGGUGAAAUGCGUAGAUAUAAGGAAGAACACCAGUGGCGAAGGCGAUCUACUGGACAGUAACUGACGCUGAGGCGCGAAAGCGUGGGGAGCAAACAGGAUUAGAUACCCUGGUA
rnacentral:rRNA from 1 species